rnacentral:rRNA from 1 species
CAGUCGAACGGAGAGGAAAAAGCUUGCUUUGAUCAUCUUAGUGGCGGACGGGUCAUUAACACGUGAGCAACCUGCCUUUCAGAGGGGGAUAACGUUUGGAAACGAACGCUAAUACCGCAUAACGUAUACGGAUGGCAUCGUCUGUAUACCAAAGGAGCAAUCCGCUGAAAGAUGGGCUCGCGUCCGAUUAGCUAGAUGGUGAGGUAACGGCCCACCAUGGCGACGAUCGGUAGCCGGACUGAGAGGUUGACCGGCCACAUUGGGACUGAGACACGGCCCAGACUCCUACGGGAGGCAGCAGUGAGGGAUAUUGGGCAAUGGGGGAAACCCUGACCCAGCGACGCCGCGUGAGGGAAGACGGUCUUCGGAUUGUAAACCUCUGUCUUUGGGGACGAAAAAGGACGGUACCCAAGGAGGAAGCUCCGGCUAACUACGUGCCAGCAGCCGCGGUAAUACGUAGGGAGCGAGCGUUGUCCGGAAUUACUGGGUGUAAAGGGAGCGUAGGCGGGAAGGCAAGUUGGAUGUGAAAACUGUGGGCUCAACCGACAGACUGCAUUCAAAACUGUUUUUCUUGAGUGAAGUAGAGGCAAGCGGAAUUCCUAGUGUAGCGGUGAAAUGCGUAGAUAUUAGGAGGAACACCAGUGGCGAAGGCGGCUUGCUGGGCUUUUACUGACGCUGAGGCUCGAAAGUGUGGGGAGCAAACAGGAUUAGAUACCCUGGUAGUCCACACCGUAAACGAUGAUUACUAGGUGUGGGGGCGUCAAGCUUCCGUGCCGGAGUUAACAC